CUGCAAUCAGAUAGUCACUGCCUACAGUGGUAGUUUAUUUUUGGCGUGCAAGUGUGUAUUCCUAUGUGUUAGCAGAGCUGCUACAAAUCAGUUUGUGCAGUCCCUGCGCUGCCCAAGACUUACUC